UUAAGUUACUAGUGUUCCCGAUAGGAUUAGUUAUCCAAAAGAUCCUUGUAACCGAAAUUAAUUUAGGGGGAAUUUAUAUG
rfam:Pediococcus stilesii strain DSM 18001 Scaffold29, whole genome shotgun sequence.